rnacentral:tRNA from 1 species
AAAAGAAAAAAACUAAAAUACAACUAAAUACAGUUCUGGGGUAGAGUCGCCAACAAACUCCCAGGCACUGGAACUAAUACAGGAAAAACUAGCACUUGAAGAACUGUUGCCUACUACAAAGCCUAACUCCUAACCCAGUCUUCCCCAAUGGCACUUUGACAUGAGCUUAAGUGUUGGACUGUAACCAGUUGGCAUGUGACAUGGCCAGCUUUCAUUGGCAGGAACUAUCUGCAGUGGUUCCUGGUUUGGCUUAAAUAGUCACCCUUCAAAAAGGGAUGUGCUGCUCCUUGUGUCUCAUGACCAGAUGGAAGUGUGAUUUUUUGGUGCAGCCAGUGACCUCAUGCUGUUGCCAGGCUCCUGGCUAUAUGUGUACAAGAGGACACACACCACAUAUGUAAUUAAGGCAAGGAUGGCUAAUGAUCACUUCAGUGCAGAUGCGCAUAACACUCGAACUCAUAAGGGAAUCAGUGAACUCCCACAAGUAACGAGAAUAACAGGCAAGGGGCACUGCAUCAGUAUUGUGUGUUUAAGUUAACAAUCUACAUCUGAUGCAGGUGUCCUAGGGCAGUCCUUGCAGUUACGAUGACACUGUGUCUGGAUGGCGCAGUAGUCAGCACAUCUGCCUAGUAAGCAGGAGACCUGAGUUUGAAUCCCAAUCCAGCAGAAAUUUUCAACUUUCAAUUUCGAUUUAAAUCAAUGAUCACUGGCAGGUAAUGAUAUCAUUUUCAAUACAUUUUGGUGUUGUGGUACUAUGUGCAUGUCAGGUCCUUUGUCCAAAGUAAUUUUUCCUAUACAAGUCAAUUAUUUGAGGUGGUUUUGUUGUCCUGCAGUAGUGGGCUCCAACAGAGGAGUCUUCCAACAUGGAGUCUGAUAUGGACAUGCAUAUAAAACAGCUAUGUAUGAUUGAAUUCCUCACUGCCGAAGAAAUCACACCAACUGAAAUCCACUGACACUUGCUAAAGGUGUAUGGAGACAAUGCAAUAGACGUGAACACUGUGAGGCGAUGGGUUGCAGCUUUUUCGAGGUAGUGGAAAUGGUUUGCAUGGCAAGCCAAGGCCUGGUCGACCCUGUACAGCUAUCAUCCCUUGCAAUGAAGAACAUCAUGAUUAACUCAUCCAGGCCGAUUGGCAGCUAAUGACCAGAGAAUUGUGUAGAAAGCUGAAUGUCGGCUGUAAUGCCUUGGAAACAGUGUUGGAACAUCUUGGUUAUUGCAAGAUCUGUGAACAUGCGUCCUGGUGGAUCAAUACGAAGCUCGAGGUGACAGUUUUCUGAAUAGCAUCGACACCAGAGAUGAGACAUGGCAUCACCACUUCAAGCCAGAAUCCAAACGACAGUCCCUUGAAUGGCGACAUGUGAAUUCUCCAUCAAAGAAGAAAUUCGAGUCACAGCCAUCUGCAGGCAAAGUGAUGUUCACAGCCUUCUGUAAUAGCCAGGAUGUGGUCCUUUUGGAUGUCCUGGAUCCUGGAGAAACUUUCAAUUCAGCAUGCUACAGGAUGACACUGACUAAGCUGAAAGCCUGAAUUUCCAGGGUGAGGUCAGAGAAGAAGACCGCGGUCAGAGAAGAAGACCGCUUUCAACUGCAACAUCAUAACACCAGACCCCACACCAGUUUUGCAACCACACAACUCACUGCAAAAUUGGCUGGACUGUCUUACCACCUGUACCAUACAGUCUGGAUUUAGCACCUUCAGACUUCCAUUUCUUUGGGCCUCUAAAAGAUGGACUACAUGGUGAACAUUUUCAAGACUCAGAUGCUGUUGUCAAAGCUGUAAGGAAGUGGUAAGCCUCAGCUGGUUCUAAUUUUUAGAAGUGUGGCAUGGUGGCAUGGUGGUGUCUAUGUGGAAAAAUGACAGUCUGUAGCUGACAUAUUGGUCUAUUUAGCUAUGCUGUUGUGAUUUAUGUAUACCCUGUAGUUUCCAUGUAUAAAUACAGAAGGCCUUACUUGGGGAAUAACCCCUUGUAAGUGUUCUAAUGUGCUGAGGCCAAAGUACCUCAAAUGCAAGGAAAUGCAUAUGUAACAGGUCAGACAUCAACUGAUAACACAUGGAACCAGAUUUAGACGUUGUUCUCAGUAUUGCCAACAGUCUGGCAACAUUGCAUUGGUGUUUGUGAAUUGUGAUUUUUUAGGUUUUCAACACAUUGUAUGUUAUGUUAUCGAUUAUGAAAUGUUUGCUGUGUUAUAUAUGUUUCAUAAGAGAUCUUGUAUGCUUUGUGCUCAGCAGGAACAGUCAUGAGUGCUCCAAGUAUAGUGUAAAAUUAUAUCCAUUGAGCUACUGUAGAAAAAGGUUACAUACACAGAAACGAGAAUCUGAGUAAAAAAUAGUUUAUUUUGAGAUGCACACAUAUAGUAAAAGUGAAACACUGUGGUAUAUAAUUGACCUCAUUAAUGCAAAUAGACAAGAGACUAUCCCGUGGGUUUGCAAAAUUACUAGAAUUUAUGUAAUUCCAGAUUGACUUUGCAAUCAAGCUUCACUAUCUUUUAUUCUAUUAUUUUUGGAUGCUAGAUUCUACACCCUAUAAAGAAAAUGCUAUUGAUGCAGAGUUCAGUGAGAGCACAAAGAAUGUGAUCCACUAAUUAAGUAGUUAUUAUAUAUGUCAUUUUUGGUCUUGCAAACAUGACCAAGAGGACACAUGCCACUUUUAUAAUUAAGACAAGGGCAGCCAAUGAUCACUUCAGUGCAGAUGCACGCCGCACUUGAAAUCUUAAGGGAAUUGGUGAACUCCCACAAGUAAUGAGGAUGACAAGCAAGGGGCACUGCAUCGGUAGUGUGUGUUUAAGUUAACAAUUUACACCUGACUCAGUUAUGCUAGGGCAGUCCGUGCAGUUACAAUGACCACUGUGUCUGGAUGGUGCAGUGGUCAGCACAUCUGCCUAGUAAGCAGGAGACCUGGGUUUGAAUCCCAAUCCAGCAGAAAUUUUCUACUUUCCACAUUGAUUUAAAUCAACGACCACUGGCAGCUAAUGUUAUCAAUUCCUUUGUGUCUUAAGUGUGAUACAUGGCUAUUUUUUGAGAAUUAUCUAUCAGAAAAGAAUGGUUUGAGAGCCAAUAUGUUUAUCAUUACUAUCUAGUCUUUGAAGAUAUAAUAUUUUGGGGUAUAUGUUCAUUUUAAUAUAAGGUGCAAUUUGAGAGUCAUUCAUAUAGUGUCCUUGUAGUGUAAGGUUCUUCAUUUGCACAGUAAUUAGUGCUUUUCUGUUGUGAGAGUAAUUUAUAAUGUUUAUAAGUUUGUCAGUGAGGAGAGCUGCUUACAGGAAUUUACUGAACCCUUUGUCAUGUAUGUUUUGCUAAUGGCACAUUUAUUUCUGUUUAAGGUAAUGAUACCAUUUGCAAUUCAUUUCAGUGUUGUCAUACUAUAUGCAUGUCAGGUCCUUUGUUAAAAGUAACUUUUCCCAUAUGAGUAAAUUAUUUGAGGUAGGUAUCUUG